ensembl:lncRNA
CGGGGAAGCAGGUAACCUAGUGGUUGGACGAUAACGGGGAAGCAGGUAACCUAGUGGUCAGAGGAUAACGGGGAUGCAGGUAACCUAGUGGUCGGAGGAUAACGGGGAAUCAGGUAACCUAGUGGUUGGACGAUAACGGGGAAGCAGGUAGCCUAGUGGUCGGAGGAUAACAGGGAAGCAGGUAACCUAGUGGUUGGAGGAUAACGGGGAAGCAGGUAACCUAGUGGUCAGAGGAUAACGGGGAAGCAGGUAACCUAGUGGUCAGAGGAUAACGGGGAAGCAGGUAACCUAAUGGUUGGAGGAGCCG